rnacentral:lncRNA from 1 species
GCAGCCAAUAGGGCUGUGUUGCGCUUGCGUGGUACCCGGAGCCAGCGCUGGCAUAGGGGAACCUGUAACUAUGGAAACCGUAUGUCCUGGGAAAAUCGAUAGUCCUGCGCUGAUCGAAACCUGAGUCAAAAUCAUUUCAUCUUCUCUAUUCUAUAUCAGCUACUUGGUUCAUGAGUCUGUCACGACAGAAGAGGGUCAUCAAAAGAACCCCAUUAAUGAACCCUGCCACCAUAGGACGAUCCUGUGACGUAGGAUCCAUCAUUCUGUCCAUUUUACAGAAGAAGAAACGGAACUCAAGAGAACUUAACGUGUCUAAAGUUCAACGGCUAGUAAAUGCAAGCGUUGAGGUCUGAACUGAAAAGGGGAUCAUCACUGGUCUCAGUAUUUUGUAAACUCCUGUUCAUUGCUUCUAAUCAGUUUAAUAAAGAGCUGAUGGCCAAUGGCUAAGGAGGAAAGGAACAGAGAUAGUAACUGUCGGAAGAAUUGAGAGGUGGGACUUCGCCUUCAGCACAUGGAGGAAGUCGGAUAUACCAGAACUGAGUGAGAG